rnacentral:rRNA from 1 species
AUGGUGUCCUGGAGCGACAGCGAGAGCACUGAGGGCUCCGCCGCGCAGUACAUCUCCUCCGAUGACUCCCCUGUCAAGAUCCCAGCUACAAUUGAUGAACCGUCGUUCGAGGGUCUUGUUGACGACUUGAAUGUGAUUUGUGAGCAUGGGAAUCCAAGGAGGAAAUAUGUUGCAUUUGAGGGGAUAAGCAUUGGGAGGGGGUUCAUUGCCUGUGCCACUGAAGGUGUUGCAAAUUGUGGAUUAGUGCAGUGGGUAGAUGAGCAUUGGCUACUGCAGAAUGCUAUUCAUAAGCUGUGGCUUAUGUAUGAGGAUAGCUAG